rnacentral:rRNA from 1 species
AUUGAACGCUGGCGGCAGGCCUAACACAUGCAAGUCGAGCGGAUGAAGGGAGCUUGCUCCUGGAUUCAGCGGCGGACGGGUGAGUAAUGCCUAGGAAUCUGCCUGGUAGUGGGGGAUAACGUCCGGAAACGGGCGCUUAUACCGCAUACGUCCUGAGGGAGAAAGUGGGGGAUCUUCGGACCUCACGCUAUCAGAUGAGCCUAGGUCGGAUUAGCUAGUUGGUGGGGUAAAGGCCUACCAAGGCGACGAUCCGUAACUGGUCUGAGAGGAUGAUCAGUCACACUGGAACUGAGACACGGUCCAGACUCCUACGGGAGGCAGCAGUGGGGAAUAUUGGACAAUGGGCGAAAGCCUGAUCCAGCCAUGCCGCGUGUGUGAAGAAGGUCUUCGGAUUGUAAAGCACUUUAAGUUGGGAGGAAGGGCAGUAAGUUAAUACCUUGCUGUUUUGACGUUACCAACAGAAUAAGCACCGGCUAACUUCGUG